AUUACUACUUUUCAUGUUUACACUAACCACUUUUACUCUCAUUUUUAAUAAAGGGUAAAAGACAUUUAUAACCCUUUGAUUAACUUUGACAAAAAAACUUAUUGUUAAAUAAUCUAAACUUAAAACCUCAACUCUAAACCCUAAAUCAUCGACUCUAAACCCUACACCUUGAAACAUCAACUCUAAACCCUACACCCCGAAACAUAACCUCUAAACCUUAUCUUCAAAUCUAAACCCUAAAACAUCAACUCUAGACCCUAAAUCAUCAACUCUAAACCAAAAACCUUGAAACAUCAAUUUUAAACCCUAAACCCCGAAACAUCAAAUCUAAACCCUAAACCUUAAACCUUCAAAUCUAAACCCUAAAACAUCAACUCUAAACCCUACACCCUAUAUUUUUUUCUGAAAUUCGAACCCUAAACCCUAAAACCCUAAACCAUAAACCUUCAAAUCUAAACCUUAAAACAUCAACUCUAAACCCUAACGUAAACCCUAAAACCCUAAACCCUAAACAUCAAAUCUAAACCAUAAAACAUCAACUAUAGGCUUUUAGGGUUUAGG
rnacentral:lncRNA from 1 species